GAGGUAGAGAAAUCUUGAGACAUAGAAGUUCCUGAAGGGUAUGGGAUUCACCUCUACUUCACCCAUCUGGACAUAGAGCUAUCAGAGAACUGUGCGUAUGACUCAGUGCAGAUAAUGUCAGGAGACAUUGAAGAAGGGAGGCUCUGUGGACAGAGGACCAGUAACAAUCCCCACUCUCCAAUUGUGGAAGAGUUCCAAGUCCCAUACAACAAACUCCAGGUGAUCUUUAAGUCAGACUUUUCCAAUGAAGAGCGUUUUACGGGGUUUGCUGCAUACUAUGUCGCCACAG